GCGGCUACUGCUAUCAGGUUUCGACUAAGCCAUGCGAGUCAAGGGGUCGUAAGACACCGGCGUACUGCUCAGUAACACGCGGACAAUCUACCCCCAGGUGGAGGAUAACCUCGGGAAACUGAGGCUAAUACCCCAUAGUUGUCAUGUGCUGGAAUGCUUUGACGAUGAAAGAAUUUCGCCUGGGGAUGAGUCUGCGGCCUAUCAGGUAGUAUGUGGUGUAAAGGACCACAUAGCCUAAGACGGGUACGGGCCUUGAAAGAGGGAGCCCGGAGAUGGACUCUGAGACACUAGUCCAGGCCCUACGGGGCGCAGCAGGCGCGAAAACUGUGCAAUGCGCGCAAGCGCGACACGGGAAGCCUGAGUGCCUUAACUAUGUUAAGGCUUUUCUUGAUCCUAAAAAGCUCAAGGAAUAAGAGCUGGGUAAGACGGGUGCCAGCCGCCGCGGUAACACCCGCGGCUCGAGUGGUAGUCACUUUUAUUGAGCCUAAAGCGUUUGUAGCCGGAUUUGUAAAUCUCUAGGAAAAUACUUCUGCUUAACUGAAGAAAUUUUGGAGAGACUGCAAAUCUAGGGACCGGGUGAGGUUGAAUGUACUUCUGGGGUAGGGGUAAAAUCCUGUAAUCCUGGAAGGACGACCGGUGGCGAAGGCGUUCAACUAGAACGGAUCCGACGGUGAGGAACGAAGGCUAGGGGAGCAAACCGGAUUAGAUACCCGGGUAGUCCUAGCUGUAAACACUGCCCACUUGGUGUUGCAUCUCCGGUAAGGGGGUGCAGUGCCGUAGCGAAGGUGUUAAGUGGGCCGCUUGGGGAGUAUGGUCGCAAGGCUGAAACUUAA
rnacentral:rRNA from 1 species